rnacentral:lncRNA from 1 species
GCUAAUCUCAAGAUUGCCUGGGGCUCAUAUCAAAAGCCUUUACCACUGACCAGAGGAAUGGAUGAUGCCUCCCUUGGUUCCCAGGACUGAGUGCUCCUUCCUUGGACAGCUUCUGCUGGGGAUGUUUUUUCCUCCAGUUGAAGAAUCACUACGUAGUGAUGUUGCUAUACCCCUCAACCACUUUUCUCACUCACAGGCCCCAGAGAAAGCACAUCCAUGCUAUUGACUUCAGGCCCACUUAACUCAUGGGAAAAUAUUACUGCCAGUGUUGUUUACCUGAAACUCAUCCUCGUGUCCUGGAAGGAAGAGCUGCUCUGAGCUGUCCUUGCGAAGACUUAUUGGCCCAGUGACUCCUUUAUCUCCAUACACCCAGAGAGUGACAUUGGCUUGAGUUCCUGUAUUUCCUGUCAGCACUAACACCUUCCAUUCAUCUUCUGACAGAAGAGUCUCACUACUUUGGAAAUGUCUGAUUUCUUCUAUGGGGGAAAAAAGCAUUAGUGGCAGAUCAGAUAUAACAUCAGGCUGACAGAAUCCUUUGUCACACUGGAGCCAAAGGACAUGAAAACUGGGCAGGGUAGGGUGAAGCAAGCAGGAGGCACUGCACUGUGAAGACUCCAGGGAGCUGAUUUGCGCUUGUCUCCUCACAGCAAGGUUCUGGUCAACUGAAACUCAAUCACCGAAGUAAACUGGAUUCGAACAAUAAACAUCUGACCUACAUGGCAAUCUUUCACUUAUCCUCAAUGCUAUAGCACAGGAAGGCAAACUGGAGUUUCUGUCCCAUGGCCACAGAUUUUUCAUAAAGCUGCCUGCUUGACCUACAUAUUUUAUAUAGAACUACCACCAUAUAAAGUAACAAAAAAGGGGAAUUAAAACAUGUUUUCACAUAAAAUAGGUAAGUGGCAAAUUGAGGGCAAAGAAAAAUUUUCUGAAAUAUUUCUGAAAAAAUUAAAAAAUACCUUACUGGCGUGGGCAAUGGAAAGGAUUUGGAACUAAAGAGAGAAUUUUCACACAUACAAAUGGUUCCUGAGGUGCUCAGAGCAGUUGUCCAUGACAGCAGGGAUGCAAAGCACUUGUGUUUCACAAUGCAUCCUCUAGCAACCAGCAGUGCCCAAACACAGUCACUCCUGUUUGUAAAGAAUGCCAUGACAUCCCAAGCUAGAAUGGCUGUCUUCUUCACACUCCCUUUCGCCUGUGGUCUCAUCUGAGGAGAUACUGGGCCAGACAAUGCUGAGGGCAUCUCCCAAGCUACUCUGCACGGGUUGUCUGAAAGUACCCCAAAUGCACUUUAAUUCUUAACUGAUAUUUCCACUUUGAAAUCUUAUAUACCCAAGAUGAUGAGGCAAAAGUUCUUCAUGUCAAAUGGUUAAAAGGUAGCCAGAGCUGAUCUCCUUCCUUUAAUUCUGUAGCUUGAAACUAUAGGCAGCCCUCGGCAGCACUUAGGAUCUUACCAACAAUGAUGACAAGUCUAGAAAAUAAGAAAUUCUUCCUGCUAAGCUAUAAUGAACUAAUUUUAAAAUAAAAACCAUGCAAAAAUAUAUAAAUAAAAACAAAUGCUAUGAAAGAACUGACAUUCAUUUUUAAAAGUUUCUUUCUCUAGAAUGUGCUGAGUAAUCUCUGUCAGUAUAACAGCUCUGGGUAAUCUCUGUGGGAGUGACUGAACAAUUUAAUUGUUUUUAAGCUCCUAUUAUAUGC